UACGUAGGGUGCGAGCGUUGUCCGGAAUUACUGGGCGUAAAGAGCUCGUAGGUGGUUUGUCGCGUUGUCCGUGAAAACUCACAACUCAAUUGUGGGCGUGCGGGCGAUACGGGCAGACUGGAGUACUGCAGGGGAGACUGGAAUCCCUGGUGUAGCGGUGGAAUGCGCAGAUAUCAGGAGGAACACCGGUGGCGAAGGCGGGUCUCUGGGCAGUAACUGACGCUGAGGAGCGAAAGCGUGGGGAGCGAACGGG
rnacentral:rRNA from 1 species